rnacentral:rRNA from 1 species
AUUGAACGCUGGCGGCAUGCUUUCCACAUGCAAGUCGAACGGUAACAGGUUAAGCUGACGAGUGGCGAACGGGUGAGUAAUGCAUCGGAACGUGCCCGGUCGUGGGGGAUAACGCAGCGAAAGCUGCGCUAAUACCGCAUACGAUCUGAGGAUGAAAGCGGGGGACCGUAAGGCCUCGCGCGAUCGGAGCGGCCGAUGUCAGAGUAGGUAGUUGGUGGGGUAAAUGCUCACCAAGCCAACGACCUGUAGGUGGUCUGAGAGGACGACCAGCCACACUGGGACUGAGACACGGCCCAGACUCCUACGGGAGGCAGCAGUGGGGAAUUUUGGACAAAGGGCGCAAGCCUGAUCCAGCAAUGCCGCGUGCAGGAAGAAGGCCUUCGGGUUGUAAACUGCUUUUGUACGGAACGAAAAGGCCUGGGUUAAUACCCUGGGCACAUGACGGUACCGUAAGAAUAAGCACCGGCUAACUACGUGCCAGCAGCCGCAGUAA